rnacentral:rRNA from 1 species
CUAUACAUGACUCUGCGCAUAUCAAUAAGCGGAGGAAAAGGAGUAUACCUACGCUUAGGAUGUUGACACACGCGCGUGCUUGAUCUAUACAUGACUCUGCGCAUAUCAAUAAGCGGAGGAAAAGAAACUAACAAGGAUUCCCCUAGUAACGGCGAGUGAGGCGGGAAGAGCUCAAAUUUGAAAUCUUAAAGGGUUUACCUUGACGAAUUGUAGUUUAAAGAAGUGUUUUCUGUUGAAGUUUUGGUAAAAGUUCUUUGGAAUAGGACAUCAUAGAGGGUGAGAAUCCCGUAUUUGACCAUUAUUUUCAGCUUUGUGAUACACUUUCAAAGAGUCGGAUUGUUUGGGAAUGCAGUCCAAAAUGGGUGGUAAAUUUCAUCUAAAGCUAAAUAUUGGCGAGAGACCGAUAGCGAACAAGUACCGUGAGGGAAAGAUGAAAAGAACUUUGAAAAGAGAGUUAAACAGUACGUGAAAUUGUCAAAAGGGAAGCGUUUGACACCAGUGUUGUUUUCUCGAAAAUCAAUUAAAAAUGGCUCGAUUUUGUAUUGCUGAGACCUUAAAAGCUCACUGUACAUUUUUCGUGUCUUUUUUAAUGCACUUUUCGUUUAACAAGUCAACAUCAGUUUCUUUUGUUGUAAAAGGGUCAUUGGAAGGUGGCUUUCUUUUCGGAGAAAGUGUUUAUAGCCUUUGGCCUCUGCAAUCGGAGAGACUGAGGUCUGCAGGCGUAGACUCUUCGGGGUUAGAUACAUUUGUGCUAAGUUAUAGCUUUUUAUAGACAACUUGUUGACUAUAAUUAGUCUUGUAGCUUACUCGCUUAUGCUAUUUUACCUACGCUUAGGAUGUUGACAGCAGUAUAGACUGU